rnacentral:sRNA from 1 species
ACACGGGAGAGGAGGUGGUCCGACGGUGCAGACAUCCAGGACGCGUGAGGUGACUGUCCGCUAGUCGCCCGAGAACAUCGGACGGAGUGCUUCCGGUCCCGACCCGCCUCGAGCGGCGAGCGAGACCCAGGCAGUCGCCGGAGCCCGUGGGGGUCGUGACCCGUCCAUCACGACACCCUGGUCCCAGACCAGGAGCCCACGGGCUUUCUCCUG